UACGUAGGUGGCAAGCGUUGUCCGGAAUUAUUGGGCGUAAAGCGCGCGCAGGUGGUUUCUUAAGUCUGAUGUGAAAGCCCACGGCUCAACCGUGGAGGGUCAUUGGAAACUGGGGAACUUGAGUGCAGAAGAGGAAAGUGGAAUUCCAAGUGUAGCGGUGAAAUGCGUAGAGAUUUGGAGGAACACCAGUGGCGAAGGCGACUUUCUGGUCUGUAACUGACACUGAGGCGCGAAAGCGUGGGGAGCGAACAGGG
rnacentral:rRNA from 1 species